CCGCUCCUCGCCUUGUUAAUGCCCAUCAUACUCCCGCCCUGGCUGCACCAUGAGGAGAAACUGCCACGAACUCACCCAGGACAUUACACCCGCCCCGUGAAUUGUUGAUUCAACCCCAGAGAGAGAAUUGCCAGAUGACUUGGAAUAAGAGUACCAAUUUUAAUACUCUUUACGGAACAAACAACUACAGUGAUGAUUGAUCUUUUUAUCCAUAAGUCAGUAACAGACACACAUGGAAACGAAAUUAUUUAUUAUACCGGAAAAUCACGUUCAGUGAAUACUGUAUGGGAUCAAUCUUCUGUUCUGUUGAAAAGGUUGAUUCAACCCCAGAGAGAGAAUUGCCAGAUGACUUGGAAUAAGAGUACCAAUUUUAAUACUCUUUACGGAACAAACAACUACAGUGAUGAUUGAUCUUUUUAUCCAUAAGUCAGUAACAGACACACAUGGAAACGAAAUUAUUUAUUAUACCGGAAAAUCACGUUCAGUGAAUACUGUAUGGGAUCAAUCUUCUGUUCUGUUGAAAAGUACUGAAAUUCCCAGACCUUACUUUCAAUAACCCUAAAGUUCAGCUGACUAUUCGUACGUUGGUGCACAUUUGUGAACGGAUAACCCUGUAGGUGUUCCUCUGUGGUCUUCUAAGGAGCUCAAGAUGGAUCACUAAAGAUCACCUGGUGCUUUAAUUCCAGAUUUAUCAACGAUGCCACUUGUAUAAUCCAAUUUUUUAUUAUACCCGAGGUCGUUACCUCUCUUGUCUAUGGAUAUUAGUAUUAAUUAAUGUGUCACUUAA